rnacentral:pre_miRNA from 1 species
UAAGUACUCCCUCCGUCCCAAAAUUCUUGUCUUAAAUUUGUCUAGAUACGGAUGUAUCUAAUACUAAAACGUGACUUGAUACAUCCGUAUUUAGACAAAUCUAAGACAAGAAUUUUGGGACGGAGGGAGUAGUAA